rnacentral:rRNA from 1 species
UACAGAGGUCCCAAGCGUUGUUCGGAUUCACUGGGCGUAAAGGGUGCGCAGGUGGGCUGUCAAGUUUGAUGUGAAAGCCCCGGGCUUAACCCGGGAAUGGCAUUGAAUACUGAUGGUCUGGAGGAUUGGAGGGGGGGACUGGAAUUCUUGGUGUAGCAGUGAAAUGCGUAGAUAUCAAGAGGAACACCAGUGGCGAAGGCGAGUCCCUGGACAAUUCCUGACACUGAGGCACGAAAGCCAAGGGAGCAAACAGG